rnacentral:rRNA from 1 species
GACGAACGCUGGCGGCGUGCUUAACACAUGCAAGUCGAACGGAAAGGCGCUGCUUUUGUGGGGUGCUCGAGUGGCGAACGGGUGAGUAACACGUGAGUAACCUGCCCUUGACUGGGGGAUAACUUCAGGAAACUGGGUCUAUUACCGGUUAGGAGCUCCGGCUGCAUGGUGGGGGUUGGAAAGUUUCGGCGGUUGGGGAUGGGCUCGCGGCUUAUCAGCUUUUUGGUGGGGUAGUGGCUUACCAGGGCUUUGACGGGUAGCCGGCCUGAGAGGGUGAACGGCCACAUUGGGACUGAGAUACGGCCCAGAGUCCUACGGGAGGCAGCAGUGGGGAAUAUUGCACAAUGGGGGGAAGCCUGAUGAAGCAACGCCGCGUGCGGGAUGAAGGCCUUCGGGUUGUAAACCGCUUUGGCCUGUGACGAAGCGUGAGUGACGGUAAUGGGUAAAGAAGCACCGGCUAACUACGUG